AGCCUGGCUCAGGGUAGCAGGUUAUCAGAACUUAUUACCAUUAGUGUCUCUGAAGUUGGUACACACACCGCCACUGGUAAAUUUGACUGGCUUUAC
rnacentral:sRNA from 1 species